AUUCUACUCCCUCCGUUGCACAAUACAUGCCUUAUAUUUGUCAAAAUAUAUAUGUAUCUAGACAUGUCUUAGUAUAUAGGUACAUCCAUUUUUGGACAAAUGGAAGUCAAGUAUUUUGGAACGGAGGGAGUACACA
rnacentral:pre_miRNA from 1 species